CUAAAAUCUCAACGAUGGAUAUCUUGGUUCCCACUACGAUGAAGAACGCAGCGAAGUGCGAUAAGCAAUGCGAAUUGCAGAACCGUGAAUCAUUAGAAUUUUGAACGCA
rnacentral:rRNA from 1 species